AAAGUACUCCCUCCGUUCAAAAAUACUUGUCAUAGAAAUGGAUGUAUCUAGAUGUAUUCUAGUUUUAUAUACAUCCAUUUUAUCUAUUUAUCUGACAAGUAAUUUUGGAUGGAGGGAGUAGUUA
rnacentral:pre_miRNA from 1 species